GAAAAAUGGUCAAAACACAAGUUAACAUUUCAAAUUAAAAUAAAAUAAACAUUAACCUCAGAAUUAGCAAUUCUACCAAAAUUAGCAACAGAACCACUAGAACUCAAUCCGAUAAUUCGCGAUCAAACAGAGACGUUGCUCCUCCUCCUACAGAAAACCAAACGAGGGGAGAGAAACAAAAAAAAGAAAACAGAACAAAUGAGAAAUUCUCAUGGGGGCAAAAUAUUUUCCAUGAAAAAUUAAACUUUCUUCCUUCUGUGUUAAUUUCCAAAGAGAAGAAAUUCUGUGUUCUGUAAUUUUCUUCUGAAAAAAAGAAGAAAAAAUAAAAUAUGUCUGCACAGGGACGAGAACCGAGUCAUGACCCGUUCAAAUCCUUAAAAAUCUUCGUAUUUUCGUCCGACAAGGCCUCAGACAUCCUUACGACGUCGUUGAAGGCAUUCAUGAUGUUUGUCUUCGUCAUCACCUCCAUUUCUUUCGUUGUCUACUCCAUAUUCGGCGGCCAAUCCCGGUGGUGGUUCGACUAUCAGGACGACUGUCCGACCCCCGAGUCGAGUACCAUUUGCCUGCCCCCGAGUCGCAUUAGCACAAGCCACGAGCGAGCAGCAGGUUCGCGAUUUUCAAGUUCUAGUUAUCAGAAGUCAAAGCCCUAGAGCACGGAACUAUAAAUCUUCUCAGCUACGAUCUAAAGUGGUUAGUAGGGGAUAUAGAUCUUCUCUUUGUGUGAUUAGUAGGGGGUAUAGAUCUGAGUUGGGGGUGAUGAUCUGAUGUGGUUCAUGCUUGGGGCUAAUGGUUUGUGGGGUUUUGAAUUUUGAUGGCUUUGCUGGUGUUGGAAUUUUAAAGGAUGGAUCUCGCCGGAAUCUGGGUCGGAAUUAUUGCUGGUGUUGGGGUUUAACUUCAAUCUUGAUUUGUUAAAAUUUUUAGCUUUGAUUCAGAUUGGGUUUUUCUUUUGAUUAAUUAAUUAAUUUUGUUUAGUUCGACUAAAUGGAUGAGAAAUUGAUUUGGUUUAAUUUUAUUAAAUUAUUAUUAUGUUUUAUUUUGUUUUUGACAUAAUUACCCUUGAUGUUUAGAAG
rnacentral:lncRNA from 1 species